rnacentral:rRNA from 1 species
UACGGAGGGUGCAAGCGUUGUCCGGAUUCAUUGGGUUAAAGGGUGCGCAGGCGGGACAUUAAGUCAGGGGUGAAAGACGGUUGCUCAACAAUCGCAGUGCCUUUGAUACUGGUGUUCUUGGGUGACGGUGAGGUAGGCGGAAUGGGUGGUGUAGCGGUGAAAUGCAUAGAUACCACCCAGAACUCCGAUUGCGAAGGCAGCCUACUGGUCGUUAACCGACGCUCAGGCACGAAAGCGUGGGGAUCAAACAGG